rnacentral:rRNA from 1 species
AUUGAACGCUGGCGGCAUGCCUUACACAUGCAAGUCGAACGGUAACGCGGGGCAACCUGGCGACGAGUGGCGAACGGGUGAGUAAUGUAUCGGAACGUGCCCAGGUGUGGGGGAUAACUGCUCGAAAGAGCAGCUAAUACCGCAUACGACCUGAGGGUGAAAGCGGGGGAUCGCAAGACAUCGCGCAAUUGGAGCGGCCGAUAUCAGAUUAGGUAGUUGGUGGGGUAAAGGCUCACCAAGCCAACGAUCUGUAGCUGGUCUGAGAGGACGACCAGCCACACUGGGGCUGAGACACGGCCCAGACUCCUACGGGAGGCAGCAGUGGGGAAUUUUGGACAAUGGACGCAAGUCUGAUCCAGCCAUGCCGCGUGCGGGAAGAAGGCCUUCGGGUUGUAAACCGCUUUUGUCAGGGAAGAAACGCUCUGGGUUAAUACCUCGGGGUAAUGACGGUACCUGAAGAAUAAGCACCGGCUAACUACGUGCCAGCAGCCGCCGCGG